rnacentral:tRNA from 1 species
GUCAGGGUAGCUCAGCUGGUUAGAGCACGGCAUUCAUAACGCCGAGGUCGAGGGUUCGACCCCCUCCCCUGACA